rnacentral:rRNA from 1 species
GACGAACGCUGGCGGCGUGCCUAAUACAUGCAAGUAGAACGCAGUGGGGACGGGUGAGUAACACGUGGGUAACCUCCCCUCAGAGGGGAUAACACUUGGAAACAGGUGCUAAACCGAUAUUGGUGGAUGGACCCGCGGUGCAUUAGCUAGUUGGUUAGGUAACGGCGCACCAAGGCCACGAUGCAUAGCCGACCGUAGUGGGGGAGCGGGCACACAGGGACUGAGACACGGCCCAGCCUCCUACGGGAGGCAGCGGGAGGGAAUCGUCGGCAAUGGACGAAAGUCUGACCGAGCAACGCCGCGUGAGUGAAGAAGGUUUUCGGAUCGUAAAACUCUGUUGUUAGAGAAGCGGUAUCUAACCAGAAAGCCACGGCUAACUACGUGCCAGCAGCCGCGGUAAUAC